CUUCCACCAGCAAGCGGCCCUACACGGGGCUCGUGUGCCCCACAUGGGGCUGGGAUGCCAUGGGCUCCGUGCAGCUCCGAGCGUAACCCAGACCGUGACCUGCCCUCACACAGAUGCCGGCGGAGUGCAAACACCCCACCUCCUCCGACAAACACCGCCGUCAGACGUGGCUGCAGCCAUGCAGGAGCGGGCACCUCCUGGCACCCCCUCGGCCACUGACGCCGCAGGGUGAAAAUUUUCGGGAGGAAGGAGCAUAUUGAAACUCUUCAAUGGGAAAGCACCUGGUGAAAACCCACUGGGGACUUCCCCUCCCCUGGCUCCCAGGGACAAGUAUGGUCUGGGGUCCCCCUGGGAAGGGAUGGAGACCCCAGGUGCUGUGUCUCGAUGGUGUGCCAAGGGACGGGGACGCUGGUCCUCAGCCGCGCUGGAUGCAUUCGCAACAGCUGGGUCGCUGCCUGGAGGGAGCAGACAGACGGAUGCAGAUGAGAGCAACUGGAGGCUGCAGUGUCAUCCCGUGGCUUCUGGAUGGAGCACACCGCAACCCUUGCCCCUGAGCCCAGCCCCGGUGGCCAUCCCUGAUGUCCCAGAGGUCACCGUCCUGCAGUGUGGGUUCAUGUUGCACGGGUUAACUCUGUUAUCCAAGCCCUGAGCUUUGCCAUCAGUCAGUAGCAGUCCAAGCUCAAGCUUCAGCCAUCAGUCCCCAGUCUGCACAGUCCUCUCCAUCCUGCUGGCAUCUUGUAUCUACUUCCAGAGCCACCUUUGCCCAGGAUGCUCCAGGACCAGCUUGGAAGGAUACAGCUGGAGGGAAUUCACAAACCCCAAGCAACAGAAGGGGAAAGAAGCAUGGGGAGAUACGCAAGACACGUCAGCCCAGCUGGGACUGAGCUGUUCCCAGUCUGUCCAUCUCUUCCAACAUUUCCGGACUGUCUCAUCUCUUUUCCUUCCAUCAGGGACACCUACAUAUUAAGGUUCCUGUUCCCCAUCCCUCUUUCCUCAUCGUGAUUUUCUGUGUAUGGCUUAUUGUGGGAGAUGGAAGUGAGAAGUCUGAAAUGCUCCUUGGCAGGAGGACAGACUCAUUCUGCUGCCUGGCACAGGUAGCACUUGCCUGCUGGUGUGUCUUUGCCCCAGGGUAGUUCCCCUGUGCUUUUUGGGGUGACAAGUCGUGGGCUGUGAGAAUCACCUCUCCCACAUUCACAAAGCCAAUUCUGGCGAUACCAGAAGGGGCCAGACUUCCCAUCCCAUCUGACCCCAGUGCAUUGCUCACACCAGAGACCAUCCCCGCACUCCUCCCCACAAACUUCUGGCUUCUCAGGAGCAGAGUUGCCUCCUAGCAAGGCCUGGUCAUCUUCUGCAGACCACGGUGUCCCUGGGGACUUCAUGACCCUCCGCAAGCCUUGAAGAUCUUGGGUUGACUCCAUGCAUCAUGGUGAGCUGGGACAGAAAAGACAUCCCUAGACUGCUGCUGUUGCUGCCCAUCACCAGAUCUGGGGGACCUGCACUGCAGCGAGGUGUGUCUGGGGGUGGUGGCUGCCUGCCCAGAUGCCAUGCACAGAGGGACACUUUGGAGACAGGUCACCACCUUCCGGCAUGGGAUGGAGCCAGCCAGCUGAGCAGAGGUGGCCGGAGGAGCUACACUGAGACUUUGACCGUGAUGAUUCCUUCUGGAGAGUAGAGAUCAAGCAAGACUGAGCCUGAUGGUCAAUGCUGGCAGCCAAAACGAGCUCCUCCUUGCUCUGCUGCUGCAUUGGCUUUCUUCUCCCCAUGCGGCACCACUUCCAGACGCUGAUAUGCAAGGAAAGUCUUUUCUAAUUGUUCCUGACUUCAGAUGCUGCCAGGUAAACAGCAUGGAAAUUAGUGGAGACAAGUAAAUAAUUUGUAAAUAAUCAUUUAUUUAUUACUUUCCCCUCCUUUCCCUGUGCAAGCAGAUUGCAGGAUGCCUCAGAAGUGCUCGCAAUUUGGAGUGAGUUCUCUUGUGAGGCAUUUCCCACUCCCUAUAAAUAACUUAUGAACAGAUCAGAGUGAAUAUUAAAGGCCUGAAAAUCCAGAGAGUUGUGCUGCUGAGCUGAGUAAGUACUGCUCCAGUUCCUUGAAUAGACGAGCUAUCCAACGAAACAGCAUGAGGAGCUUUCAGAGUGCUGUAAUUAAAGUGUACGCACGUUUGUUAGUCAAUGGCUUGCCCGUGGGGUAGGGUAGGUGGUGUGCAGGAAAGGAUUGAUGCACCCUGAGAAAGGAUGCUGUCUUACUGCUGAGGGUACAUGAAUGUAAUCUGGACAUUAAUAAAAACAUUUGCUU